GACGAACGCUGGCGGCGUGCUUAACACAUGCAAGUCGAGCGGUAAGGCUCCUUCGGGAGUCCACGAGCGGCGAACGGGUGAGUAACACGUGAGUAAUCUGCCCUUCACUUCGGGAUAACCACCGGAAACGGUGGCUAAUACCGAAUACGACCAGUCUUCGCAUGAGGUGCUGGUGGAAAGUCUUUUCGGUGAAGGAUGUGCUCGCGGCCUAUCAGCUUGUUGGUGGGGUAAUGGCCUACCAAGGCUUCGACGGGUAGCCGGCCUGAGAGGGUGACCGGCCACACUGGGACUGAGACACGGCCCAGACUCCUACGGGAGGCAGCAGUGGGGAAUAUUGGACAAUGGGCGAAAGCCUGAUCCAGCAACGCCGCGUGAGGGAUGACGGCCGUCGGGUUGUAAACCUCUUUCAGUACCGACGAAGCGCCCUGUCGGGUGGUGACGGUAGGUACAGAAGAAGGACCGGCCAACUACGUG
rnacentral:rRNA from 1 species